rnacentral:tRNA from 1 species
GGGGUGUUAGCUCAGCUGGGAGAGCGCUUGCUUCGCAUGUAAGAGGUCACGGGUUCGAAUCCCGUACGCUCCACCA